ACUCUUUGAAUAUAUAUGUGCCUUUACUCUUAUGCGCCGUUCACUCCAUGGUGACCUCCGAAGUCUGCCGCAAGCUCCGUCGUGCCCUUAAUUCUGCUUCAGUCUGCACUACUUUCUCUCACUCUCGUCCCACCAUGAUAGCUAGCGCAUUCCAUCUAUUGCUUCCAGCUGCCUCUGUCGUGCAGGUUAUUGUGCUUUAUCAUGCUCGUGGACCAUUAUAUCUCCUUCAGGCAUUAAAUUCUUGGUACCCACGUGGUGGUGGAUCUUGAUGGCCAAAUUGAAAAAAGUUGGACUAGCAACUUCUUGAUUUUGUAACAAAUGAAUUUCAACCUAUUUGUCUUUUGAGGUUUUUGCUAAUGCUUUAGUCUUGUUUCUACUUUAUAUGUAUAAGCACGAGUAAUCCCAUCAUUCCAUAUGCUUUUGAGAAAUAGAAAAUGUUAGUAAUGUGAUUUUUCUCGUUCUAAA